UACGGAGGGUGCGAGCGUUGUUCGGAAUCACUGGGCGUAAAGGGCGUGUAGGCGGCCCGCUAAGUCUGAUGUGAAAGCCCACGGCUCAACCGUGGAAUUGCGCUCGAGACUGAAGGGCUCGAGGACGGGGAGAGGAUGGUGGGAAUUCCCAGUGUAGAGGUGAAAAUUCGUAGAUAUUUGGGGAAAGAACACCGGUGGCGAAGGCGGCCAUCUGGACCGUAUCUGACGCUGAGGCGCGAAAACGUGGGGGAGCAAACAGGGAU
rnacentral:rRNA from 1 species